GCUCUGAACACUUGGGGAUCUUGUUUAAAGGCAGCGUCUGGUUCCACAGUCUGGAAUGGGGCCUAAGAAUCUGCAUUGCUAACAAACUGCCAAGUGAUGUUGCC
rnacentral:pre_miRNA from 1 species